rnacentral:rRNA from 1 species
ACAUCCAGAGAACUUAGCAGAGAUGCUUUGGUGCCUUCGGGAACUCUGAGACAGGUGCUGCAUGGCUGUCGUCAGCUCGUGUUGUGAAAUGUUGGGUUAAGUCCCGCAACGAGCGCAACCCUUAUCCUUUGUUGCCAGCGGUUCGGCCGGGAACUCAAAGGAGACUGCCGGUGAUAAACCGGAGGAAGGUGGGGAUGACGUCAAGUCAUCAUGGCCCUUACGGCCAGGGCUACACACGUGCUACAAUGGCGCAUACAAAGAGAAGCGACCUCGCGAGAGCAGGCGGACCUCAUAAAGUGCGUCGUAGUCCGGAUUGGAGUCUGCAACUCGACUCCAUGAAGUCGGAAUCGCUAGUAAUCGUAGAUCAGAAUGCUACGGUGAAUACGUUCCCGGGCCUUGUACACACCGCCCGUCACACCAUGGGAGUGGGUUGCAAAAGAAGUAGGUAGCUUAACCUUCGGGAGGACGCUUACCACUUUGUGAUUCAUGACUGGGGUGAAGUCGUAACAAGGUAAGCGUAGCGAG